UAUUUAAAUUAAUCAUCUAACAUCAUAUUAAAUAAAACAUUUAAACAUUUAUUCCUACUAACUUACUAAAUCAAAGUACUAAAAAGGAAACAACAAUAACCUAAAGUAGUGAUAGCUCACGUACCUUGUGCAUUAUGGUUUUACAAGCUAUAAAUUUAUAAUAUCCUCCCGAAUUCUACACGAGCUGUCUACAUAUAGCUUAGAGCCCACUACUAGUUGUAGCAACAACUUUAGAAAAUAUGUUAACAGAGGCUACAUACCACCCGCGUUAGAAAAUUGCUGGUUUUCAGUAAAAUUUAUUAAUUAAAACAUGUAGUAACAACUACAAUGUAAGACUUCAGAGGAUAAGCCCUGUAGUCUAAAGCUAAUAAACACACCACUAAAUAAUUAGGCCUAAAAACAGCCACCUACAUUACCUUACCGUAACACUUAUAAAAUAUUUGAAACUAUAUGCACCCAAAAACUGAAAUUUAAAACAAACUUCAAAUAUUAAAAUAUUAUGUAAAAAUAAGUAUUAAGCACAAAUAAUUACUAUACUAAACCUUUUUCUCAAUAAAUUAAACAAAAACUUAUAAAGGAACUCAGCAAAUUCUUAUUUUUUCCGCCAAAAGAUGAAAAGUAAUUCCUGCCCAGUGACUAAGUUCAACGGCCGCGGUAUCCUAACCGUGCAAAGGUAGCAUAAUCACUUGCCCAUUAAUUGUGGGCUAGAAUGAAAGGACUAACGAAAUAAAAACUGUCUCUAUAAACCACAUAAAAAUUAAUCUCUAACUGAAGAAUGCUAGAUAUCGUCGAAGGACAAGAAGACCCUAUAGAGCUUUAUUUUAACAAAAGCCAGAAAAUUUUUAAUAAAAUUCGGUUGGGGCGACCAGGGAAUAUAAAUCAUCCCAGAUAAGUAGAUAACUUAAUCUAAACUAUGACCCUUAAACAAGAUCAACAAAUCAAGCUACCUUAGGGAUAACAGGCUAAUCCCACUAAAGAGUCCUUAUUAAUAGUGGGGGUUGGCACCUCGAUGUUGGCUUAGGGAAUCUAUGUGGCGCAAAAGUCACAUAAAGAUGGUUUGUUCAACCAAUAAUACCCUACAUGAGCUGAGUUCAGACCGGCGUAAGCCAGGUUAGUUUCUAUCCUCGAUAAAUAAUCUAUUUAUAGUACGAAAGGACCUAAAUAGAAUAAUAAUUAUAUCUUAAGAAUAAAUAUAAUAUUUAUUUAAAAUAAAAUUCCAUAAACUA
rnacentral:rRNA from 1 species